UUCGAGGACAGCGUGGAACCCGGCCAGAAUCGGUUCAUCGCGAGCAAGUUAUACGUAACGGGCCGAUAAAAGGGGCUCUGCCAAAAUGUAGACCCGCACCUCUCCUUCCGGGACAGGGAUUUCCAUUCGAUACGAAGAAAAGCCGGCCCAUUGUACGAUUAUUCCGGAUUAUUCUUGGACGAGUCGCGCCCAACUCGUGGUUAGGCAUAAAAGAUAAAGCCGCGGUUUUUGUCGACUUAACUUGGUUGUCCGGAGGGACAGAGUUUUUCUUCGAUGUUUUAAUCAGUGAUAGCACCGUGGAAGAAUGAUACUGUUAUUCAACUUGGUUCGGGUGUAAUGGUCAAUUAAUUAUUAUUAGUGUCAUAUUUUAAUUAAUCGAAGGGAAUAAUAGAAUGGAUAUAAUAUAUCGAGAGAGCUAAUCACGAAGAGAUAAUUGAAAUUUUUGGAGAAUCGAGGAAUAAAAUUUAUGAACAGUGCCAAAAAAAAUUUAACUCUUCAGGAAUCAGAAGCAUGAGGAUGAAAAACAAAAAAAGAAUAUUUAAAUGAAGAUUCAGCUUAUUCUUCGAAUAAUUCUUUUUCGCAUACCAUGAAGACGACGAUCCAUGUGAUAUAAUAGAUUUAUACAAAAUUCAAUUUCUAAGAUUUACGCGCUUAUGAGUUUUUUCAUCAGUCACUAUUAAGUCAAGCAUCAUUUAUGCCGGGAAGAAUCUCCCUCCGCCAUUGCACCAAGGAGAAGAUAUAUUGCCAGCAUCUAUAAUGCAACCUUGAAUGAAUAACAUAACCUUUAUUGAAUGCUCAACGAGCAUCAAGAUUGGAUUUACGACAAGCUUAAGAUUCAACAUCAGUUCCAGUGGAAGAUAUAACGUAUAUGGUUAAAUGACGACUUAAUCUCACUUAAAGAUUACUUGGAAGAGAAAAUAACGUUGUACAAAUCAAUCAUUUUGAUUAUAUUGAAAGCUUAAUAUAUAAUGUAAUGGGUAUGAUACAAUGAAAAAAUUCUUUGGAUUUGGAAAUUUCAAGACAGAAUUGCAAGCUAAACAUUUUAUAAUUUCAAAAUUUUUAUCAGUCCAUCUCUUCCAUUAUUAAGAUAUUUAAGAUAUUUAUAUCAUCUUUUUAAAAUAAUAUUCUAUUUGAAGAAUUGUCGCAUAUGUAAUUUCUAUGACUAAAGAUAUCGAUUCUAAAAAAAAAAAGAGAGAAAAAAGAAUAAGUAGGAGGAAAAAUGGUAUUCUCGAUAGCAAUUAAAAAAGUUUCACGUGGCCAAAAAAUAAAUCAACGGCUAAGCUUGAAACGCUUACCUGCAUACGUAUCAAGGAAAUCAAUUUCAUCGUUCGAAUCUUAUCAAACGCAAUUGGUUACGAUAAGAACGUAUUGCUGCACGAUAGACGAUUUACGAUUGGGACGCGAACAAUGAAUCACCGAGAUGUACGUGCACAUUGUUCGGAUACAAAAGAUGUCACCGAUGUGAACCACAAACGAAAACCAUAAUAACAAAAAGGCGGGAAAUUCAAAAUUCCUACGAGAAACAAAUCGAUUCGAAAAGAAUGGAUAAUCAUUAUGUCAAAGAGCGUACAUACCUAAGCGAAUUGUGAAACUUGUGUAUUAAAGCGUAUCGACAUCGAAUAACAAGCGCAUAACAGGCAAAGAGAGCGCUCGUUCGUUUUCUCCACGGUUCAAACUCACCUGAAACAGAAAGAUAACGCUCGAAUUAAUUAUGCAAUCCGUGGCAGAGACACGGGGAUCGGUUCGGUUGUUAUCGUAGGAUUACCAAAUUAUUCGCUAUCAAUUACAGAGCGCCGAGAAUUUAUCGUAUCCGCGAUCAAAUAUUAAUCCGUGCGCGGUUUAACAUUCGUUCUUCGUCGUUUUACGUUGGAGGCCCACCGAGAAUAAUUUAGCAUUAAAAUCGAAUGAGCCUCGAUUAUUGGCCUAGGCAACGUUAUACGGGAAUCGUGUUAUCGAAUUUUAAUACAGAUACUUCCAUCGAUUCUUGGUCGCGAUAACGGGAUAAUGAAACGAGAUGUCAAACGGGAUGGAAAUUAAAAGAUUCGUUUAAUUUUUUCAUUGAUCAUUUUGAUCAGUUUAUUAAUAUUAAUAAAGUGGAAUUAAUCGUUUAAUAAUAGAAUAUCACUGUAGAAUAAUCUGAAUUUUAUUUAUGCACUUUGAUUCAUCCUUAAAAAUAAAUCUUAUAAAUAUUUAUAAGAUUUACCACAAGUUGAUAACUAUUAUCCAAUUAUUAUUAUGCAACUAUUCUCUAUCUAACUAUUAAAAAAUAUGAACGUAUGUUCAUGUAGAUAUAAAACUUUAUUUCUUUAUUAUAAAAAGAGUCACAUUUUAAAAGAUAUUUAAUCUUUCGACUACGAACAACGUCUAUAAACAUUCGAAGAAUGUUAUGCAAUAAUAUGCAACACAUACAAGAUGCUUACUUGAUGCAAAUAUGCUUCAAUUUGCAUAUUUUAUUUCUAGCGGUUUCCAUCCAAUCAUUCACUAUACAACUAUUAAAAAAUAUGAAUACAUGAAUAUUCCAAAUAUAUUAAUCUUUUCAGAAAUAUACGCGCACGUUUAAUUUUUUUAAAAAGUAAAAUUAAUUUACGUAAAAAAAAAAAAAUUAAAAUCUAUUGAAAAACUCUUUUCUACGCCAUUUUUUUAAAUAAUAAAAACUCGAAGCAAUAAUUUCAAUAGUAUCUUUGACGUGACGUGAAAAUAUUAUCUCACAUCUAAACAAGAUGGACGAAAUCAAUAAGAAAGUUGCAUUAUCUUCUUGGAUAUUAAUAUCGACGAGUAAUUUUAGGUUAGACGACAUAAUUUACAAUCGACUAUCGUCUCUUUCAAAGGAACACCGCUUCUCAUCCAUCACGAUAUAUUUAAUCAAUCGCAUAAAGAUCGGGCACAGACGGAAUUAAUAAAGGGGGCGAAACCAUUCUGCCAAUAUGCAAGCUACUUUAUGCACGAGAGAGUUUUGAAAUUAGAGCCACCUAUUGAUCCCAGACACGCCAUCUCUCUGAUAAUUUCGAUAUCGCUGGCAUCUGCGCGCAUCUGAGCCUGUGUGCGAGCACAACCGGCUAUGUGUUAGUAAUUCGUGACAAGUUGGAGGAAUUACAGUUUCUCUCGAUUCGCAUCCAAUACCGGACGAUUAUUAUGCAUGACUCUUCUGAGUUAACGGGCGGCAAAUGUAUCGUUGGAUAUCGAAUCCUGUGCUCAGUGCAUAUGAAAUCACGUAAUCUAAAACUAGUUUAGAGACGAGAUAGUUCCAAUAUUAAUGUAGUUAUAAAAGCUUUAAAAUGAAAUUUAACGUAAUCACGCGCACUUGUCCGAAUUCGUGACGAAUCUUAUUUAAUUUAUUUAUUUAUUUAUGAAACUAAUACUAUUAAGCAUCAGCAUAUAAAAUUUAAAGCAAAUUAAAUGAAAAUUGCCACAUUUUCACUUUACAAAUUACAAAUUUACAAAUUAAUUAUUGGAUUUACUUUUAUUUUCUCUCAAACAUACUUUUUAGCUUUUAUUAGAUGACGAAAACAAUUCUCGAGAGUUUUUUUCCUAAAUAUAUUUGAAUUAGAUUAGGUUAUGUUCGAUAAAUUUUUAACUUUCGAGAAAAUUCUAAAAUCCAUUACCACGAAUAUUUUAAAAAUUAACUCGUACAUAAUUUAUUUGUUUUUUUCAUUUUUCCAUAAUUACUACAUUUAUAUCACUCUCGCAAUAAUAUCGAAAAAGAAAAAUAUCACAUACACAGUGCAUCCAUUUGCUACGAAUUACGUAGUAACCACGCAUGCGCAAAGAUCGAAGGAUCAAAGUCGUUAAAUCGGAACGUUACAACAUGUCAAUGAUAUCACAGUCAACUGGCAUUGUUGAUCGUAUAACGAAAUGCAUGGUGUGUUUGGGACGAUUUGCAUCGAGCAUAGUAUAUUUUGCGGAAACAAUAAUUUCCCAUUGUUACGAACAUUAAAUAACCUUGUAACGCAAAUAUCGGUCGAAUAAUGUUCCUGGCAAAUAUCCGCGAUAUUUAAUGACAUCGAAUAAAUUGUUAUUCACUCCGUCCACCAAUUGCUGUUUUGCGGAAAUUUUACGAAUCGUGUUUAUCGCGUGUAAUAUAAACUUGACUUGAUUAUUUUAUGUACCAUCAUUAGUUUUUGUACAGUUUUUGUACAAAGUCUCGAAUAUAUGAAACGUAAGAAAUCAAGAUUUUUAAGAAAUUAUCGUAUUAAAAUUAAUUGUGAGUUUUUUUAACUAAAUAUGAAAAUUUUUUAAAUGUAUAACACGUUAUAAUUGUAUAAACAAUAAAUUGAAGAAUUUAAAUAGAUGGAAUUAAAAUUUUUCGAGUUAUAAACAA